CUCACGUUUCCUCUCUCCCUCACGCUUCCUCUCUCUCACACAUAACCCUCUUCUCAAGACGUAAAAAAGACAGCUGGCAAUAAGAGGUGGAAAAAGGGACUCAAAUGGUCCAUUUUGUUGAGGAGGAUUCUGCUCCCACUCACAUACUCUCUCACGGUAUAAAGAAAAGCAAAAAACUGGAGCUCAUCCUCCUCCCAUGAUCUCUCACUACAUUCCCCCUCCUUCAACCAUUACAAUACCUUCAUUAGAAAAUUCCAUCUAAAAAAUUAUAACCACCCUUCACCAAAACCUCAGUGAAAAGCAACACAACUCAUUCACCAUUAAUUUAAAGUAUCAACCUCUCUCAUCAACAUUUGAACUUUGAAGAAAAAAUUCUUUUUGCUUAAGAUCUCUCUCUUUUUCUACAACUGCAUCUUCACCUUCUCCAACUUCCUGCUUCUUUUCUCCAACCUUAAACUCUCACUCUUUUCUAGUCCGCCUCACACCCUUUUUCGAUCUACUGCUUCCUCACCGUCCUUGUUCUGCUAUUCCAGACACCAUUUUAUUUGCCGACGAAAACACAAUAAAGAUCUUCGUUAAGCCCUUCCAUUUCAUUGUGUGCGGCCAUAGAAGUGCACCUUAACCUCACUUCGUUAACCGUCAUCUCCAUAAAAAUCCACCAACGACACCACCAUCGGAUCCUUCGUAACAUCUCUGACCAAACGUCAUCGCUUCGUACACACCAACGCCAUUAACAAUCGACUAGCAUUUUCAUUCCCAUUUUUAUGAACUAAAGAGUAUGCCGAAGAAGAUGUCGCCAUGACAUGUCGUCGUUGAACUUGGUAAGCAGCACAACUUGUUCAAGAUGAGAGCUAUUUAGGUGAAGGAAGGUCGGGAGAGUAGUGAUUAUGAUAAAGCUGUGAAACUAAACCCUGAAAAGCCAAGAAGAGUUUGUUUUGAAAUCCAUGUGCUAAAUGGAGACGAUACUUUCAUAAACUUUCAGCUAAAUAAAGAUUUUGACAUAGACAAUGUCAUUAUGAAUAUCA